GGAAGGAUCAUUAACAAAAACAUGAAUUUAAUAAUAUAGAGAAGCUUAGUGUGAGUGUAACAGCUUGCACUAAUUUAAACUUAUAUUGGAAACAAUAUAACUAAGUGUGAAGGUUGAUAUAAACUAAAUUUUCAACGAUGGAUGUCUUGGCUCCCAUAACGAUGAAGAACGCAGCGAGAAUGCGAUAUGCAAUGUGAAUUGCAGAACUACGAAUCAUUUGAUCUUUGAACGCAAAUGGCGCUGAUUUAUGUCAGCAUACUUGUUUCAGUGUGCCUAACCAAAUAAACAACAAAAUGUAAGAGAAAACUCUCUUAUCAAAUAAAUGCUCCAAGUAGCAGUCACAUUUAUUUGUGAGCUAUUCUGGUGGAAAACUGUCUUAUUCGCACCUGAAAUCAAGUAAGAUCACCCGCUGGACUUAAGCAUAUUACUAAGCGGAGGAAAAGAAAUUAACUAAGAUUGCCUUAGUAAGGGCGACUGAACCGGCAAAAGCUCGAAAUUAAAAUCGGAAAUUCAAUGAAUUUUCGAAUUGUAAUCAGGGUGCCCAAAAUACGGGAGGUCACUCAAGAGUCUCGAAAGGCUCGCCAUAGAGGGUGCAAGCCCCGUGCAGUGAUCUCUCGAACGUGGGAACUCGAAAAAGAGUCGUGUUGCUUGGAACUGCAGCACUAAGAGGGAGAUAUGAUUCUUCCAAAGCUAAAUAUGGAUGGGAGACCGAUAGCGGACAAGUACUGUGAAGGAAAGAUGAAAAGGACUUUGAAAAGAGAGUGAAAAGAUCUGAAAUCGUUGAGAAGGAAGCUGUUAAAACUGAUCGAGGUUAUGAUGGCGCAACGCGGCCAAAAGUCGUGGAGCGUCUACCAAAGACCCUGGACAAAAUGAAGCUAGCUGGAUCAAAAAAGGCGCAAGCCGUGUAAAAUCUAGUUAGCUUAAGGGGCUAAGGCGAUUUUGUCUAAAAGGUUUUAACCGACCCGUCUUGAAACACGGACCAAGGAGUCUACCACAUAUGCGAGUGUGCGAGUGUAGAAACUCAUACGCGUAAUGAAAGUAAAAGGUGCGCAGUGUUAAAACAGCAGCAUCGACCGACCUAGUAAGAAAGGUUUGAGUAUGAGCAUAUUUGGUAGGACCCGAAAGAUGGUGAACUAUGCCUGAGUAGGGUGAAGUCAGGGGAAACCCUGAUGGAGGCUCGUAGCGGUACUAACGUGCAAAUUGUUCGUCAAACUUGGGUAUAGGGGCGAAAGACUAAUCGAACCAUCUAGUAGCUGGUUCCCUC
rnacentral:misc_RNA from 1 species